rnacentral:rRNA from 1 species
GAUGAACGCUGGCGGCGUGCCUAAUACAUGCAAGUCGAGCGAACAGACGAGGAGCUUGCUCCUCUAACGUUAGCGGCGGACGGGUGAGUAACACGUGGAUAACCUACCUAUAAGACUGGGAUAACUUCGGGAAACCGGAGCUAAUACCGGAUAAUAUAUUGAACCGCAUGGUUCAAUAGUGAAAGACGGUUUUGCUGUCACUUAUAGAUGGAUCCGCGCCGCAUUAGCUAGUUGGUAAGGUAACAGCUUACCAAGGCAACGAUGCGUAGCCGACCUGAGAGGGUGGUCGGCCACACUGGAACUGAGACACGGUCCAGACUCCUACGGGAGGCAGCAGUAGGGAAUCUUCCGCAAUGGGCGAAAGCCUGACGGAGCAACGCCGCGUGAGUGAUGAAGGUCUUCGGAUCGUAAAACUCUGUUAUUAGGGAAGAACAAAUGUGUAAGUAACUAUGCACGUCUUGACGGUACCUAAUCAGAAAGCCACGGCUAACUACGUG